ACCUGGUUGGCUCAGGUGGUUAAGCAUCUGACUUUGGCUCAGGUCAUGAUCUCAUGGUUUGUGGGUUUGAGCCCCAUGCUGGGUU
rfam:Felis catus isolate Cinnamon breed Abyssinian chromosome F2, whole genome shotgun sequence.